rnacentral:rRNA from 1 species
UACGAAGGUGGCAAGCGUUGUUCGGAUUUACUGGGCGUAAAGGGAGCGUAGGUGGUUAGGUAAGCCCUCCGGGAAAUCUUCAGGCUUAACCUGAAAAGGUCGGGGGGGACUGCCUGGCUAGAGGACGGGAGAGGAGCGCGGAAUUCCCGGUGUAGCGGUGAAAUGCGUAGAGAUCGGGAGGAAGGCCGGUGGCGAAGGCGGCGCUCUGGAACGUUUCUGACACUGAGGCUCGAAAGCGUGGGGAGCAAACGGG